UACGGAGGGUGCAAGUGUUAUCCGGAUUCACUGGGUUUAAAGGGUGCGUAGGUGGGUAUGUAAGUCAGUGGUGAAAUCCCCGAGCUUAACUUGGGAACUGCCGUUGAUACUAUAUAUCUUGAAUGCUGUGGAGGUAAGCGGAAUAUGUCAUGUAGCGGUGAAAUGCUUAGAUAUGACAUAGAACACCUAUUGCGAAGGCAGCUUACUACGCAGAUAUUGACGCUCAUGCACGAAAGCGUGGGGAUCAAACAGG
rnacentral:rRNA from 1 species